AGGUGGGAGGAUUGCUUGAGCCUGGGAGGUGGAGGUUGCAGUGAUCCAAGAUCAUGCCACUGCACUCCAGCCUGGGCAACAGAGCAAGACCUUGUCU
ensembl:miRNA